ACGAAAUCUGAGUGAAACACGAAACUCGUUGUACAGACAGAACCUUUCUUGUUUUUUGCACCGGUUCAGACAGCCGAAAGAGGAGUGUUUAUAUAGGUCUUAAUGACUGUCUAAUUACGUAACUGCCCUUAUUAGUAGUGAUAACUACACCGUUUAAUCUCCGUUCACUGACUGACAGGUGUCGAGAGAUGUAUUCGUUGCGGCAUCGGGAUUGUCAAUUAUUUGAUAGCGAUGAGGACACGUGUCCUUAGUUCACCGGUUGAGAUAUGUUUUAUUAUCCUACCCCCUCUGGUCUUUGUUACUAGUAUGGUAAGACAUUUCUUGGAAAGUUAAUUACUCUCUCGUUGACCGGCUUGCUGACCAAUUUGCAUUGCAUGCAUUGCAUCUAUACAAUGCAUAUGCUAAUUGAGGGAA
rnacentral:lncRNA from 1 species